UACGUAGGGGGCUAGCGUUGUCCGGAAUCAUUGGGCGUAAAGAGCGCGUAGGCGGCCAGAUAAGUCCGGUGUGAAAGUCACAGGCUCAACCUGUGAAUGCCGCUGGAAACUGUCUGGCUAGAGUCCGGGAGGGGCGAGUGGAAUUCCUGGUGUAGCGGUGAAAUGCGCAGAUAUCAGGAGGAACACCAGCAGCGAAGGCGGCGCUCUGGGCUGGAACUGACGCUGAGGAGCGAAAGCGUGGGUAGCAAACAGG
rnacentral:rRNA from 1 species